GCGCAGCCGCGCCGCAGCUUCUGGCGCUUUUCUCCCUGCCGUGAUGGCAGAGGAAAAACGCAGUUCGAUGGGGGUUGAGGGAGGAGAAAAUUACGUCAAUUGGAAAAAGACGAAGAAAACCAAGGAAAACUUCUCUAUACCCAGCAAACCUCUGCUAAGCACGAUAUGUUUGCAUUGGAGAGACGGGGUGUCUCAGGAGCAGAGGCAAGCAAACUACACAGUCAGAGCAGCACAGAGUUAUGAGUUUUAUUUGGCAUGUGCACACACACAGGUAUCCAUUUUUGAUAGCCCCAGAAGAUGGCAAGCAGAAACUCCCUAAGCAAGUGCAAUAGGAGCACUAGUAAGCUAAACCAGAAUCUCUCUAAGCAAGCACAAUAUUACUUACUGACCUUGAGAGAGGGAUGAAAUUUUGGGAAGGAGUCUGCCUGCAGUGCUUUCAAAACAUGUCAGCAGGGCAUUCCCUGCUUCAAAGUGCAUCUUUCCUCUCUCCUCCACUGCAGCCUCUCUCCUGCUUCUACUCUCUUCAGAGUCUGCAGCAUUUUUUUCCACCUGCAUGCUGUAUCCAUGCAGCCAACACAUGAUACAGAGCCCAAGCGGAACACCUGCUUGCAAAACAAAUCCUUGUAAAACAAGAUAAGUUAGCAAGGUUUCUCCCUAAUUAAAAAUCAAUAAAAUAAGAUGAAAGGAACAUUUAUUUGCAUCUACAGCCUUUAAAACUGUCAGAAUACUUUGUUCCAUCCCAGGAUCAUUCUCCUGUUGGGCCUCUAGACCCUUUCCAAAUUCAUCUAUUUUCAAAUUGUAAUCUUUGAAAGCUGACACCAUUUUCUUGCAAAGCAUUAAGCAUGGGGCCAUGCUAUUUGUCUGCACUGCACUACGCCCUCCCUGUGCCCCUUGGCCAGGCUGGGCUGCUCCAGGAGGCAGAUGAUGUGGCAGGGUGAGCAGGCGGAAGUGUGAGCUGAGCUGGGCUGUGUGUGUCCUGUGGGUUUCAGGUAGGACAAGCCUAGAAUCUUAGUAGAAUUGGUUUUUAGCCUUACCAAAUAAAAACCAAACCAAACAAAAGAAAAAAA